rnacentral:misc_RNA from 1 species
AUCUCUGAUUUUGCAAUCAUCUCAAAUUAAAUCUCCAUUUAUUCAUAAACAUAUAUAGCUGCAUAUAGAUAGGUUUCAGAAACUUUCAGUAUUUUGGAUUCAUAAAUAGACAUAACAGAGAAUGGUCGAAAGAUAUGGAGUGUUUUGAAUCUGAGACGUUACCAUGCUGCAGUGCUUAGGUUCUUACCUUUCGAGGUGUUGCGAUCUUGAUUUUAAGCAAUCGGGGGGCCUCGACGAUCCUGAGAUACUUGCACGAGAGACAGUUUUUAGCGUCAGCGAGAUUGAAGCUCUUUAUGAGCUCUUUAAGAAGAUAAGCAGUGCAGUGAUUGAUGAUGGUUUAAUCAACAAGGAAGAGUUUCAAUUGGCACUUUUCAAGACAAAUAAAAAGGAAAGCUUGUUUGCUGACCGGGUGUUUGACUUGUUUGAUACAAAACACAACGGAAUCUUGGGAUUUGAAGAAUUUGCUCGUGCACUCUCUGUUUUCCAUCCAAACGCACCUAUCGAUGACAAGAUUGAAUUUUCUUUUCAGCUAUAUGAUCUCAAGCAACAAGGUUUUAUUGAGAGACAAGAGGUAAAGCAAAUGGUAGUGGCUACUCUUGCGGAGUCUGGUA